AGGAUGUCUGUCACAUUCUGGAAUCCACACUGAUGAUGCAGUUGCUGUGUCAGAGCAGUUGGCAGAGUCACAGGGGGAACUGUGACGUAGUUGCCCCAGGGAGCGUACAACAAGGUCCGCACUGCUCAGCCAGCCCAGGCCAAAGGACAGCACAAGAGUGAGCAGAGGCAGAGGAGAGAGGGGAGGAAAGAGUGCAACGAAGGAAAGGCCUGGGCCCUGGGCAAGGAAGCAGGGGGGGCUGUGAUGCAACACACUGUGCAUCCUCCUCCUUCAUUUUUUAGUGCCAGAGGCCAAGAGGACAAUGUGGCAAGACCUUGGAACACUCCCGUCUUAUGCUGCUCAGAUGGAGAGGUGUUCCACAUUCGAAAAGAACAUUGAUACAAAGAUAAGUAAUCAAAAUAACACCAGCCUGAAUGUACCUGUAGGCAUGAGCUGCUGACAAGAAACGUGGUGAUACCAUGGGCAUGGCAGAGCAGGUACAAUGUUGGCAGUUCCCUGUGUCACACAGGCACAAGAGAAACAGCCAGCAUUGAGAUAUCAAAAGAACUGCUGCACAACUCGGACAGCUCAGCAGAAUAGUGCAGAAUAGUGAGCUGAUGCUGAGGUGAAAGAGCAGGAGAUCGCAAAGAGAGGAAGGCCUGGGACGUUAUCUAGGAGGUUGGGCUGGCUGUCUUACAAUUGAAUAUGUGUCCUCCUCCUUUGCCUUUGAGUGCCAGACACCUAGAGAAGACCGAGAAAACAUCUUGGACCCCUACUGUCCUCCACUGCUCACAUGGUGAGAUGUCCCACCCUCUAUACGGACAUCAGUCCAAAGAUAUGUAUUAAAAACAACUCCAGGCUGGCUGUACUUGUACGCAUCAGCUGCUGGCAACAGCCUCUAUGCUGUAAUGGGCAUGGCACAAGAGGUACAAUGUUUGCAUUUCCCUGUGUCACACAGGCCCUGGUGACUUGACAGCCACAGGGAGAUCACAAAGAGUUGCAACCCUUUGCCAGAUUAGGCAAAGCUGAGAGGGAUGUGGUUUCAAUGCUGCCAUGUGAUGGCAGGAAGAACUGUGAGGAAGGGAAAGGUGGGGGUUUGCCAAUGGCAGGGAAACAGAUCUGUUUUUGAUGCACUCUUUUCUUUGAGGGCCAUAAAAAAAGAAAAGACCGUGCCCACACCUUGGUCCCCUCCUGUCCUCUGGAGCCCAGCUGGUGAGAUGUCCCACCUUCUGCAAGCACAUCAGUACAAAGAUAUGUAUUCAACAUAACUCCAGACUGGCUGUACUUGUGGGCAUCAGCUGCUGGAAACCGUCUUGGUGAUGCCAUGGGCAUGGCUCAAGAGGUACAAUGUUUGUAUUUCCCUGUGUCACACAGGCCCUGGGGAUUUGACAGCCACAGGGAGAUAAUUGAAAGAGUUGCAACCACCUGCCAGAUUAGGCAAAGAUGCUUAGAAGAGACUGUGCCCACACCUUGGUCUCCUCCUGUCCUCUGGUGCUCAGCUGGAGAGACGUCCCACCUUCUACAAGGACAUCAGUACAAAGAUAUGUAUCCAACAUAACUGCAGCCUGGCUGUACUUGUGGGCAUCAGCUGCUGGCUACUGCCUCUGUGCUUCCAUGGGCAUGGCACAAGAGGUAGAAAGUUUGCAUUUCCCUGUGUCACACAGGCCCUGGGGAUUUGACAGCCACAGGGAGAUAAUUGAAAGAGUUGCAACCACCUGCCAGAUUAGGCAAAGAUGCUUAGAAGAGACUGUGCCCACACCUUGGUCUCCUCCUGUCCUCUGGUGCUCAGCUGGAGAGACGUCCCACCUUCUACAAGGACAUCAGUACAAAGAUAUGUAUCCAACAUAACUGCAGCCUGGCUGUACUUGUGGGCAUCAGCUGCUGGCUACUGCCUCUGUGCUUCCAUGGGCAUGGCACAAGAGGUAGAAAGUUUGCAUUUCCCUGUGUCACACAGGCCCUGGGGAUUUGACAGCCACAGGGAGAUAAUUGAAAGAGUUGCAGCCACCUGCCAGAUUAGGCAAAGAGCCAUAAGCCAAGAAGAGACCGUGCCCACACCUUGGUCCCCUCCUGUCUUCUGGUGCUCAGCUGGAGAGAUGUCCCACCUUCUACAUGGAAAUCAGUCCAAAGAUAUGUAUUCAGCGUAACUCCAUGCUGGCUUUACUUGUGGGCAUCAGCUGCUGGAAACCGUCUUGGUGAUGCCAUGGGCAUGGCUCAAGAGGUACAAUGUUUGUAUUUCCCUGUGUCACACAGGCCCUGGUGACUUGACAGCCACAGGGAGAUCACAGAAAGAGUUGCAACCACCUGCCAGAUUAGGCAAAGUGGCCUUGAUUGGAAUUGCUCAUAUCCUGUUCCCGUCCUGUCCUCUGGUGCUCAGCUGGAGAGAUGUCCCCCGUUCUACAAGUACAUCAGUUCAGGGCAAUGUAAUCAAAAUCAUAGCUUCCUGUUUGUGAUUUUAAGCAUCUGCACCACACUCUGUGAUGCAUUACCCAUGUCUUAUUGGGCAUAUUCUGGAUUGUGGCUUAGUAACUUUGAUAGCAUAGGGCAGUUUUCCUCUGGCUGCCAUGAGAUAUGGAAUUGAUAGUCUUGAACUGCGUUAAGAGUUGUACUUAGGAAUGGACUGCUGCUUAUCCUUUUGUUGGUUCACAUCAUCCUGAUUUUGAAAGACACAGAUCCCUCCUGCUCACACUCUUCUUUGACUCUGCCAGUGGUUUCUGCAGCCACCUCUAAAGUCACAGACUUAAGAAGCGGGAAACAGCCUCAGACUCUACCUCACCAUGGCCUUUCACUCAGCUAGAAACUCCCCAUCGCUCUGGACAGAGGAAGAUCUUCAUCACUUGCUCACAUUACAAUUUUAUGUUUCAUAAAUAUGUUGCCUAUAUCUUCUGAUCUGUACUGUUUUUGUGGGGGAAAGACAUAUGAGCCUUUAUU